CUGUCCAAGUUGUAGCUCAUGGAAUUACUUUUCAUUGACACAGAGCCACCCUGCAGUACUUCUCUUCAUUAUCUUCCCUAACCCCCUCCCUAAGAAGCCCAGUUAUGUUGCUUAUCUGUGCCGGCAAUUUGGUGAUGAAUGAAGCAACUCCCGGUGAAUCUCUGAGCUACCUUGCAAGGGGCUAAAGCGGUUGUCAGAUGCUUUCUGGACAAAAACAGAAGAACUGUCCCAGAGGCUCCUCUCAAAUAACCCCAGAGAAUGUCCAUCUCCUCUCCCUCCUCCCCUGCUGAACAGCCAGUAUGAACAGAGACAGCACUCUAUAGGUGUAUUAAAAAUGAGGAGCUUACAUCGCCAUUCCUGA
rnacentral:lncRNA from 1 species